rnacentral:lncRNA from 1 species
UAACACGAGUGGGUCACGAAUGUGUGGAUUUGUGUCAUUCGUAACUACUCGCCUCUUUCCGUGACCUACAACCGGAAUGACACGAGUAGUUAGGAAUGUGGACUUGUCAGACUUACUUCUGGGGUCAGUUGAUUUCUUCGAGUUACGCCAUUCUCACUCGCGAUAUUUGUCACCAUUUGCUUGGAUUUGAUGAGUGCAUUUAACUAAACCUAUACGAUCGGAACAACAGAUUUGAUCGGAUCAAGGAGUACGAUGUGCGUCUCGCUCUGUCGCCUUAUAUUUUCAGGGCGAUAUAGCGAUGACCCUAAUCAGUCACCAUACUGCAGCAUGUGGGAGUUUUAUUUUGCUGGUAUCAAUGCGUUAGGGGAGAACAAGUUUGAUUUGAUGUGGGAUUAUUACAUUUCAAUGACUGAAGAUGUAAGUGGCGGGACAGAGUCAUGGAUUUCACACACACCUGGUAUGGCCACAGUGACUACCGUGUAUCUGACGCCUGAGACGAAGAGGCCACGUAGAGGCCGAAACCACGCCCCGUGAUUGCGAAAUGUAUCUUCACACAUAACGGGGACGCUGUCAAAAGCUCCCGACGAUAAUUCAAAGGCAGGCCAUUUCCAUGUAUGGAACAGCUCCAAGGACUUGGUGUUAAUGCCACUGUUGAGGGAAGCGAGCUCUUAGAACAUCUAAGUGUUUAUAUCGGUUGACAAACUGUACGUAGAAAACGUCCUCCAAAUGUUGCCUGGACCACCCCCUUACAACAACUCACAACAGAGCUCCGAUACAACCACAGCAGGAACGAGGCUCAAGCAGGAAAUCGUCAUUGGACAUGUAUCAAAUACGACGCCAUAUGAAACCCGUGUACGGAUGUAAACUGGAUUAUUCAUCUGAAAGACUCGAAGGAUGAACAUACUGAGACAGUUUCUGGCAAUGGUUAUACUGAGAACAAUUGGCCUUUCAGCAGGCUAAACAUGUGAGUUUUUGUAAAGAUAUUACAACAAGAACUGUGAAUGAAUUUCAUCACUGUGAACAAUAUCUCGACUAUGAUAUUCUCAGAAAAUAAACCUGUGAGUGCUCCUAUAUUGCCAAAAGCUGAAAACCUAUAAUUGCCGGUAUCAUAGAACCAUCUUGUAAUAACGCUACUCCACACGGAUAGAUCUUAUGAAAUAUAACUGUGACACUGUACAAAUGGCGAGUAACUUUUUAUCAUCCCGAGUUCCAUAUCGAAAUAAAAGGCGUAUUAUAUUAA